CUUGCCUCCAUUGUCUAGUGGCGGACGGGUGAGUAACGCGUGAGCAACCUGCCUAUGCGAGGGGGAUAACACAGGGAAACUUGUGCUAAUACCGCAUAACAUAUACUUUUUGCAUGGAAGGUAUAUCAAAGAAAAAAUCGCGCAUAGAUGGGCUCGCGUCUGAUUAGAUAGUUGGUGAGGUAAGGGCUCACCAAGACUACGAUCGGUAGCCGGACUGAGAGGUUGAUCGGCCACAUUGGGACUGAGACACGGCCCAGACUCC
rnacentral:rRNA from 1 species